GUCUACAGCCACGCCACCCUGAACGUGCCCGAUCUCGUCUGAUCUCGGAAGCUAAGCAGGGUUGGGCCUGGUUAGUACUUGGAUGGGAGACCACCUAGGAAGACCAGGCGCUGUAGGCG
rnacentral:rRNA from 1 species